GUUUAUGGGGGAUACCUUGGCAUUCAGAAGCGAUGAAGGACGUGGUUACCGACGAAACGCUUCGGGGAGCUGGAAACAAGCUAUGAUCCGGAGAUCUCCGAAUAAGGAAACUUCUAGAACUUCUUAUUGAAUCUAUAAAUAAGAAAGAGCGAACCUAGGGAACUGAAACAUCUUAGUACCUAGAGGAAAAGAAAGUAAAAACGAUUCCCUUAGUAGCGGCGAGCGAAAUGGGAAGAGCCUAAACUCUUCGGAGGGUAGUGGGACAAUUUUUAAGAUUAGUAACGGUUAGAAGAAUGAGAUGGAAUGCUCAAUCAUAGAAGGUGAUAAUCCUGUAUUCGAAAACUGAAACUACUGUAUUGUAUCCCGAGUAGCAUGGGGCACGUGAAAUCCCGUGUGAAUCUGCGAGGACCACCUCGUAAGGCUAAAUAUUCCUGAAUGACCGAUAGUGAAAUAGUACCGUGAGGGAAAGGUGAAAA
rnacentral:rRNA from 1 species